CAACUUAGAGGAUACCGAGCUUGUGAGCCUAAGUGUCUGCUGAGAGCAGAGAUAUGGUAGCAAGCCGUAAAGCACCUACUACAAGCGGUCAUUUUUUCCUAACAUUUUGCAAAAAUUACCGUCGGUGCUUUUACCAAUGGAUACACGAGAAAUGGUUUAUCCACUCGACUUUAGAAAGGUGUCUAUUUUUAACUUAA
rfam:Mannheimia haemolytica M42548, complete genome.